GGAUCCAGACUUUGAUUAUGGCUCAGGAUGAACGCUAGCGACAGGCCUAACACAUGCAAGUCGAGGGGCAGCGAAGAGGUAGCAAUACCUUUGCCGGCGACCGGCGCACGGGUGAGUAACACGUAUGCAAUCCACCUGUAACAGGGGGAUAACCCGGAGAAAUCCGGACUAAUACCCCAUAAUAUGGGCGCUCCGCAUGGAGAGCCCAUUAAAGAGAGCAAUUUUGGUUACAGACGAGCAUGCGCUCCAUUAGCCAGUUGGCGGGGUAACGGCCCACCAAAGCGACGAUGGAUAGGGGUUCUGAGAGGAAGGUCCCCCACAUUGGAACUGAGACACGGUCCAAACUCCUACGGGAGGCAGCAGUGAGGAAUAUUGGUCAAUGGUCGGCAGACUGAACCAGCCAAGUCGCGUGAGGGAAGACGGCCCUACGGGUUGUAAACCUCUUUUGUCGGAGAGUAAAGUACGCUACGUGUAGCGUAUUGCAAGUAUCCGAAGAAAAAGCAUCGGCUAACUCCGUGCCAGCAGCCGCGGUAAUACGGAGGAUGCGAGCGUUAUCCGGAUUUAUUGGGUUUAAAGGGUGCGUAGGCGGCACGCCAAGUCAGCGGUGAAAUUUCCGGGCUCAACCCGGAGUGUGCCGUUGAAACUGGCGAGCUAGAGUACACAAGAGGCAGGCGGAAUGCGUGGUGUAGCGGUGAAAUGCAUAGAUAUCACGCAGAACCCCGAUUGCGAAGGCAGCCUGCUAGGGUGAAACAGACGCUGAGGCACGAAAGCGUGGGUAUCGAACAGGAUUAGAUACCCUGGUAGUCCACGCAGUAAACGAUGAAUACUAACUGUUUGCGAUACAAUGUAAGCGGUACAGCGAAAGCGUUAAGUAUUCCACCUGGGGAGUACGCCGGCAACGGUGCAACUCAAAGGAAUUGACGG
rnacentral:rRNA from 1 species